UACGGGGGGUGCUAGCGUUGUUCGGAAUCAUUGGGCGUAAAGAGCGUGUAGGCGGCUUGGUAAGUCAGAUGUGAAAGCCCCGGGCUUAACCCGGGAAGUGCAUUUGAAACUGCCUGGCUAGAGUAGGGGAGAGGAAAGUGGAAUUCCUGGUGUAGAGGUGAAAUUCGUAGAUAUCAGGAGGAACACCGGUGGCGAAGGCGACUUUCUGGCCCUAUACUGACGCUGAGACGCGAGAGCGUGGGGAGCAAACAGG
rnacentral:rRNA from 1 species